GUGCACAAAACACGGAAGAUCCAACAGAAACAGCAACUAUGACAUCUAGUCAAGUACCAGAAAGUACAACAACUUCAGGUGCAAUGUGGAACAGUACAUCUGCCAAAGUCCUAACAUCAGAAGCACAAAUCACAGCAGAUGUAACAGAUGAACAAAUCACAGCAGAUGUAACAGACAAACAAAUCAUAGUGGAUAUAAC